UACGGAGGGUGCGAGCGUUGUCCGGAUUUAUUGGGCGUAAAGAGCUCGUAGGCGGUUUGUCGCGUCGGCCGUGAAAUCUCCACGCUUAACGUGGAGCGUGCGGUCGAUACGGGCAGACUUGAGUUCGGUAGGGGAGACUGGAAUUCCUGGUGUAGCGGUGAAAUGCGCAGAUAUCAGGAGGAACACCGGUGGCGAAGGCGGGUCUCUGGGCCGAUACUGACGCUGAGGAGCGAAAGCGUGGGGAGCGAACAGG
rnacentral:rRNA from 1 species